rnacentral:rRNA from 1 species
UACGUAGGGGGCAAGCGUUGUCCGGAAUCAUUUGGGCGUAAAGAGCGUGUAGGCGGUCCGGUAAGUCGGCUGUGAAAGUCCAGGGCUCAACCCUGGGAUGCCGGUCGAUACUGCCGGACUAGAGUUCGGAAGAGGCGAGUGGAAUUCCCGGUGUAGCGGUGAAAUGCGCAGAUAUCGGGAGGAACACCUAUGGCGAAGGCAGCUCGCUGGGACGUUACUGACGCUGGAGACGCGAAAGCGUGGGGAGCAAACAGG